CCUGCCACUAGACGCAUUGCAGGCAUGGCUGCUGUGUCAUAUAUGCACCAGUAGGUGGCAGAGAGGAGUUCUGAGCUCUGAACAUC
rnacentral:snoRNA from 1 species